rnacentral:lncRNA from 1 species
UUCUAUUUGGCCUCAUGGGUACUGUAAAAAGUAAAAUCACAAAAAAAUACUGAACUUAGAGUAAAAUCUAAUCGGAAAGUCAAUAAUCACAUGGCAAAAUCAAAUAACAGAACACAUCAAACACGAAUGUACAAGAACUGUCAUAUUCCUGACUUGGUACAGGUAUUUUCAACACUUCUAAUACAUAUACAUUAGUUUAGUGAUUUUAUUUAAAAUAAAACUAAGUAGCAUAUUAAUCUAUUGCAAUAAAAAAUCAUAAUAUCUAAUAAAAUUUGUAGAUUUAGCUAACAAAGUCCUUAUAUUUGUAUAAAGUAACAUUCGUUUAUAGUGGAAAAUUGUUUUAACGUUGAAUAAGCUACAAUUAAAAAUUGCUUGCUGAUCCCUCUCUGUGAUUACCAUUACACAGUGUAGAUACUAUUCUGUACGCUAUCCGGAAGUCGCGAUUUUCGAAGCGAUGAUUUCCAACUGGCUAACAGGACGGUUUUGCCUACGGUAACUUUUCCCAUCAUUUGUUUACUCCUAUAUCUACAAAGUGCUUUGAACAUCUUCAAGGUAUAUAUAGCAUCAUAAAUAUGAGUAACUG